GAUAAAAUGGCUGAAUAUAAAGCGAUAAAUUGUAAAUUUAUUAAUGAAUAAGAAUUCUUUUAUCA
rnacentral:tRNA from 1 species